UACAUGGGGUGCAAACGUUGCUCGGAAUUAUUGGGCGUAAAGCGCGCGUAGGCGGUUACUCAAGUCGGAUGUGAAAGCCCUCGGCUUAACUGAGGAAGUGCACCCGAAACUGAGUAGCUAGAGUACUAAAGAGGGUCGCGGAAUUCCCGGUGUAGAGGUGAAAUUCGUAGAUAUCGGGAAGAACACCCGUGGCGAAGGCGGCUCUCUGGGACGGUACUGACGCUGAGACGCGAAAGCGUGGGGAGCGAACAGG
rnacentral:rRNA from 1 species